GGCCGUACCAUGCUGAAUAUACCGGUUCUCGUUAGAUCACCGAAGUCAAGCAUCAUUGGGCGCGGUCAGUACUUGGGUGGGUGACCACCUGGGAACACCGCGUGCCGUU